GGUCAAUGGACCAGCACCGUAACUCUCUCUUCCUCCCUCUGCUUCAUUCCUUACCCCUAUCUGUUCUUCACGUUGCACAUGGCAGCAGCCCCCGCUGCUCAAAUCCACCUCCCCGGAUGGCAAAUCUCACCUCUAAUUAUCUCCAUACUAUUCUCUCCAAUACAAUGGUGCUACCCCUGCCAUUUCCCCUCCAUUCUGACCUUUUAAUACCCUCUAAUUUCAGAUCCCAGUUCUGCUCUCUUUCCCCCUUUCACUGCGUUCAAACUAGAUGCCGUAAAUCGGCAACCAUGGUCGGGCGGCGGCGUGCACCACCGAGGUGCUGAACUCGACAACCAUGGCGCCCAGGUAGGGUCAAGAAGCCUAUGUGUGCUGCUGUGUGUGGGGAUUUGGGCUCUACCAACAACUCCUCUGAUCUAACCCUAAAGGUCUGCAAUCAGCAAACAAGAUCUCAGGGGGUUGCUAGUUCUUCUCAAAGAUUUUCUCAAGGUGCUGCAGAAUCAUCUUAGAGACGCUAGGCAGUGCUAGAUUGUUGGCAAGAAGGGUGCUGGGAGUAAACUUGAAUGCUUUUGGACUAGAUGCUAUCUUAUGGUGUACUAGAUACUAUCUUUGAAUACUUUUGGACUACAAUCUGGAAGUUUUAGUUUGUGGACUCGAUGGUCAUAAUGUUGGAUCACUUUUGGAUUACUUAGCUAGAUUAUGUAUUCAGCUACUAUAUGCAUGUUUGUAUGUUGGUUUGAUGGCAAGAAGCUUAAUAAGCUAGUCACAUGAUUAUAUAUGUACUCAUUUGAUAUGGAUGACUGAGUGUAUGAUUAAUGUGUCUAUUUGUGUAUGUCAUUUAGUAUAA